AAAGUAUGAUGAGGACAUUUCCUAAGCAUCUCCUUAAAUCUCUCACAACAUUCAUAAAUAAAUUCUCCUUCAAAUUGGACACAAAAGUGAUAUUAUUUAUAAGUUU